UAUAGGAGGAGGAGGUUGAUCCUGAGGAUAUUCCCCAUGCUGAUAGGAUCCUCCGCUAUGAGAACUCGGACGGGGAAGAGGUGGUGGAGACCAUCCCUUUUGCUUCUCCUCCGCACCGGAAAUCAUAUGAUGUUGUACCUGAGCAUUAUGCCGCUGCGCCUCGGGCGAGAGUGCGUCGCUGGAUGCUCUUGCUUGAUUCUUGGAAGAGGCAUUGUGCCAAGCUAACCCGGAAGCUUUCUGGCCGGGACAGAGAGGAGCGCCGUCGAGAACGUAGAGGAUCCUUUGACAGAGAACCCCAGGCGGAGACGUCCUUGAGGCAGGAGGGGCCGAGCUUGGAUCUGGGACAGGGGUCCGGUGCUGGUGCUCAUCAGAGGCAUUCUGAUGCUGAGCGGGGAGCUUCCCCUUUUGUACAUGUUGAUCCCACCGGGCAUUCGUUUGGAGGU